GAUGAACGCUGGCGGCGUGCCUAAUACAUGCAAGUCGAGCGAACGGACGAGAAGCUUGCUUCUCUGAUGUUAGCGGCGGACGGGUGAGUAACACGUGGAUAACCUACCUUUAAGACUGGGAUAACUUCGGGAAACCGUAGCUAAUACCGGAUAAUAUUUUGAACCGCAUGGUUCAAAAGUGAAAGACGGUCUUGCUGUCACUUAUAGAUGGAUCCGCGCUGCAUUAUCUAGUUGGUAAGGUAACGGCUUACCAAGGCAACGAUGCAUAGCCGACCUGAGAGGGUGAUCGGCCACACUGGAACUGAGACACGGUCCAGACUCCUACGGGAGGCAGCAGUAGGGAAUCUUCCGCAAUGGGCGAAAGCCUGACGGAGCAACGCCGCGUGAGUGAUGAAGGUCUUCGGAUCGUAAAACUCUGUUAUUAGGGAAGAACAUAUGUGUAAGUAACUGUGCACAUCUUGACGGUACCUAAGCAGAAAGCCACGGCUAACUACGU
rnacentral:rRNA from 1 species